rnacentral:lncRNA from 10 species
UUCUGCCCCCAGCUCACGUCUGAAUCCCUCGGCGCCCCCUUUCUCUUCUCCUAGCCCCUUCCUCACGUCCCCUGCCUCCGGGUAUUUCCUCUCUCCAAUCCCCCACCCCCGCACCGCCUGAUUCCGAGGGGCGGGAGCGCAUUGGGCUGCGCACGGGUGGGGGCGCCGCGCCAGCUUCGCGUAGCUGCUCUGACGCCGCUGCCGCCGCCGCCGCCGCCGCCGCCCUCCGCAGCCCAGCUCGCGCCCCGCGGCAGCUCCGCAGUGCACUAGCCACCACCGCCGCCGCCGCCGCUCCGCCAGACCUGCUGCCAGCUUGCCCGGUCCAGCCCUGAGAGAGCCUCGA